rnacentral:rRNA from 1 species
GGUUAAGCGACUAAGCGUACACGGUGGAUGCCCUGGCAGUCAGAGGCGAUGAAGGACGUGCUAAUCUGCGAAAAGCGUCGGUAAGGUGAUAUGAACCGUUAUAACCGGCGAUGUCCGAAUGGGGAAACCCAGUGCAAUUCGUUGCACUAUCGUUAACUGAAUACAUAGGUUAACGAGGCGAACCGGGGGAACUGAAACAUCUAAGUACCCCGAGGAAAAGAAAUCAACCGAGAUUCCCCCAGUAGCGGCGAGCGAACGGGGAGCAGCCCAGAGUCUGAAUCAGCUUGUGUGUUAGUGGAACGGUCUGGAAAGUCCGACGGUACAGGGUGAUAGUCCCGUACACCAAAAUGCACAGGUUGUGAACUCGAAGAGUAGGGCGGGACACGUGGUAUCCUGUCUGAAUAUGGGGGGACCAUCCUCCAAGGCUAAAUACUCCUGACUGACCGAUAGUGAACCAGUACCGUGAGGGAAAGGCGAAAAGAACCCCGGCGAGGGGAGUGAAAAAGAACCUGAAACCGUGUACGUACAAGCAGUGGGAGCACCUUCGGGUGUGACUGCGUACCUUUUGUAUAAUGGGUCAGCGACUUAUAUUCUGUAGCAAGGUUAACCGUAUAGGGGAGCCGCAGGGAAACCGAGUCUUAACUGGGCGUUAAGUUGCAGGGUAUAGACCCGAAACCCGGUGAUCUAGCCAUGGGCAGGUUGAAGGUUGGGUAACACUAACUGGAGGACCGAACCGACUAAUGUUGAAAAAUUAGCGGAUGACUUGUGGCUGGGGGUGAAAGGCCAAUCAAACCGGGAGAUAGCUGGUUCUCCCCGAAAGCUAUUUAGGUAGCGCCUCGUGAACUCAUCUUCGGGGGUAGAGCACUGUUUCGGCUAGGGGGUCAUCCCGACUUACCAACCCGAUGCAAACUACGAAUACCGAAGAAUGUUAUCACGGGAGACACACGGCGGGUGCUAACGUCCGUCGUGAAGAGGGAAACAACCCAGACCGCCAGCUAAGGUCCCAAAGUCAUGGUUAAGUGGGAAACGAUGUGGGAAGGCACAGACAGCCAGGAUGUUGGCUUAGAAGCAGCCAUCAUUUAAAGAAAGCGUAAUAGCUCACUGGUCGAGUCGGCCUGCGCGGAAGAUGUAACGGGGCUAAACCAUGCACCGAAGCUGCGGCAGCGACACUAUGUGUUGUUGGGUAGGGGAGCGUUCUGUAAGCCUGCGAAGGUGUGCUGUGAGGCAUGCUGGAGGUAUCAGAAGUGCGAAUGCUGACAUAAGUAACGAUAAAGCGGGUGAAAAGCCCGCUCGCCGGAAGACCAAGGGUUCCUGUCCAACGUUAAUCGGGGCAGGGUGAGUCGACCCCUAAGGCGAGGCCGAAAGGCGUAGUCGAUGGGAAACAGGUUAAUAUUCCUGUACUUGGUGUUACUGCGAAGGGGGGACGGAGAAGGCUAUGUUAGCCGGGCGACGGUUGUCCCGGUUUAAGCAUGUAGGCUGAUUGUCCAGGCAAAUCCGGAUAAUCAAGGCUGAGGUGUGAUGACGAGGCACUACGGUGCUGAAGUAACAAAUGCCCUGCUUCCAGGAAAAGCCUCUAAGCAUCAGGUAACAUCAAAUCGUACCCCAAACCGACACAGGUGGUCAGGUAGAGAAUACCAAGGCGCUUGAGAGAACUCGGGUGAAGGAACUAGGCAAAAUGGUGCCGUAACUUCGGGAGAAGGCACGCUGGUGUGUAGGUGAAGCCCCUGCGGGUGGAGCUGAGACCAGUCGAAGAUACCAGCUGGCUGCAACUGUUUAUUAAAAACACAGCACUGUGCAAACACGAAAGUGGACGUAUACGGUGUGACGCCUGCCCGGUGCCGGAAGGUUAAUUGAUGGGGUUAUCCGUAAGGAGAAGCUCUUGAUCGAAGCCCCGGUAAACGGCGGCCGUAACUAUAACGGUCCUAAGGUAGCGAAAUUCCUUGUCGGGUAAGUUCCGACCUGCACGAAUGGCGUAAUGAUGGCCAGGCUGUCUCCACCCGAGACUCAGUGAAAUUGAACUCGCUGUGAAGAUGCAGUGUACCCGCGGCAAGACGGAAAGACCCCGUGAACCUUUACUAUAGCUUGACACUGAACAUUGAGCCUUGAUGUGUAGGAUAGGUGGGAGGCUUUGAAGCGUGGACGCCAGUCUGCGUGGAGCCAACCUUGAAAUACCACCCUUUAAUGUUUGAUGUUCUAACGUUGGCCCCUUACCGGGGUUGCGGACAGUGUCUGGUGGGUAGUUUGACUGGGGCGGUCUCCUCCCAAAGCGUAACGGAGGAGCACGAAGGUUAGCUAAUCCUGGUCGGACAUCAGGAGGUUAGUGCAAUGGCAUAAGCUAGCUUGACUGCGAGCGUGACGGCGCGAGCAGGUGCGAAAGCAGGUCAUAGUGAUCCGGUGGUUCUGAAUGGAAGGGCCAUCGCUCAACGGAUAAAAGGUACUCCGGGGAUAACAGGCUGAUACCGCCCAAGAGUUCAUAUCGACGGCGGUGUUUGGCACCUCGAUGUCGGCUCAUCACAUCCUGGGGCUGAAGUAGGUCCCAAGGGUAUGGCUGUUCGCCAUUUAAAGUGGUACGCGAGCUGGGUUUAGAACGUCGUGAGACAGUUCGGUCCCUAUCUGCCGUGGGCGCUGGAGAAUUGAGGGGGGCUGCUCCUAGUACGAGAGGACCGGAGUGGACGCAUCACUGGUGUUCGGGUUGUCAUGCCAAUGGCACUGCCCGGUAGCUAAAUGCGGAAGAGAUAAGUGCUGAAAGCAUCUAAGCACGAAACUUGCCCCGAGAUGAGUUCUCCCUGAGACUUUAAGUCUCCUGAAGGAACGUUGAAGACGACGACGUUGAUAGGCCGGGUGUGUAAGCGCAGCGAUGCGUUGAGCUAACCGGUACUAAUGAACCGUGAGGCUUAACCUU